rnacentral:rRNA from 1 species
UACGAAGGGGGCUAGCGUUGCUCGGAAUCACUGGGCGUAAAGAGCUCGUAGGUGGCCUGUCGCGUCGGCUGUGAAAACUCGGGGCUCAACUCCGAGCUUGCAGUCGAUACGGGCAGGCUAGAGUUCGGCAGGGGAGACUGGAAUUCCUGGUGUAGCGGUGAAAUGCGCAGAUAUCAGGAGGAACACCGGUGGCGAAGGCGGGUCUCUGGGCCGAUACUGACACUGAGGAGCGAAAGCGUGGGGAGCGAACAGG